rnacentral:rRNA from 1 species
UUUUCCUACGGGGCGCAGCAGUGGGGAAUAUUGGGCAAUGGGCGCAAGCCUGACCCAGCAACGCCGCGUGAAGGAAGAAGGCCCUCGGGUUGUAAACUUCUUUUAUCAAGGACGAAACAAAUGACGGUACUUGAUGAAUAAGCCACGGCUAACUACGUGCCAGCAGCCGCGGUAAUACGUAGGGAGCAAGCGUUAUCCGGAUUUAUUGGGUGUAAAGGGUGCGUAGACGGGAAAUUAAGUUAGUUGUGAAAUCCCUCGGCUCAACUGAGGAACUGCAACUAAAACUGAUUUUCUUGAGUGCAGGG